rnacentral:rRNA from 1 species
UGGGGAAUAUUGCGCAAUGGGGGGAACCCUGACGCAGCCAUGCCGCGUGAAUGAAGAAGGCCUUAGGGUCGUAAAGUUCUUUCGGUAUUGAGGAAGGUUGAUGUGUUAAUAGCACAUCAAAUUGACGUUAAAUACAGAAGAAGCACCGGCUAACUCCGUGCCAGCAGCCGCGGUAAUACGGAGGGUGCGAGCGUUAAUCGGAAUAACUGGGCGUAAAGGGCACGCAGGCGGUUAUUUAAGUGAGGUGUGAAAGCCCCGGGCUUAACCUGGGAAUUGCAUUUCAGACUGGGUAACUAGAGUACUUUAGGGAGGGGUAGAAUUCCACGUGUAGCGGUGAAAUGCGUAGAGAUGUGGAGGAAUACCGAAGGCGAAGGCAGCCCCUUGGGAAUGUACUGACGCUCAUGUGCGAAAGCGUGGGGAGCAAACAGGAUUAGAUACCCUGGUAGUCCACGCUGUAAACGCUGUCGAUUUGGGGGUUGGGGUUUAACUCUGGCGCCCGUAGCUAACGUGAUAAAUCGACCGCCUGGGGAGUACGGCCGCAAGGUUA